GAGACGCUACGGACUUGAAAAUCCGUUGGCUUUAUUGACCGUGAGGGUUCAAGUCCCUCUACCCCCA
rnacentral:tRNA from 3 species